UUCACGCGGGUCCAACAAAUCUAUAUCUGCAAAACUUGGUGCUGGGAAGCUAGCUGAGGUGGGUGACUGAUAUCUAAAUUAAUUUAAGCCUGGAUGUGCUGCAUGCAUGUUUCAACGCAUUCACCUCUUCUAUUGUAUUGUGUUCUAUUGUGCUUCCCAGUUCUAUCUGAUUUUUAUGUUCUAGUUUCAUCAACAAACUGAGGGAACCGCGAAUAUCUUGUCGACGAAAAGCAAUUCUAGCUGUUUUCGAGUGAGUCAUCUUCUUUCAAGGUAUGCCAAAUAGUCUCUUUGGUUUCACAUUCAAAUUCUAAAACCUAAGUAAGUUAAUAAUUAAAUGUUGCAAUACAUCGUCAUACUAGUUUGAUUUCUGCACAAUAAUAAGUACAAGUUAUUCAAGUUAUGCUAUUAUUAUCUAUUCCAGAAACUAAACCAUGGGGGGGGGCCGGGAAAACUUAGUUGUUAAUUAUGCCAAUUCCUUUCUUAUUUCUCAGUGGAAGAUUGGAAAAUAUUUCUCUCAAACAGCUCGCCAUUGCCUUCGAUAUCGAUACAAAGCCUCCUUCGAAAUAUUUUGUUGUUGUUGACAGAAUUCAUCUUUUUUCAGUUAGAAUUGUUGCAACAGAUCGACUAAAUAUAUAUUGAACAAAGUCUAACUGACUGUAUUAACUACCAUUAAUUCCAGAUCAGCAAUGCAUAUAUACUGGACAGCAGCUGCUGAGGCUUGUGAUAUUAUGGUGAUGUACGAUGUCCCAAAUCACUUUUGUGUUUUUUUCUCAUCGCCACCUUAAAUACGUGGAGUGCAUGCAUCACAAUUGUAGGACUAAUUCAAGAAUAGAUCUUGUUGAUAGUAAAUCGUCGGUAAAUUAAACCCUAUUCGCCCGUAGGCGAUUAGUUUUGAGUUCGAUACUCUAAUUCUAUUAUCAAAAGUUUGAUACUUAGGCCAACAUAUGCUAACAGUCUGCAAAGACAGAACCUUUCCUCAGCAUAUGAAUUUGGCCCUUACUCCAGGAAGACAAAACCGUUCUUCGCCAGCUUAAU
rnacentral:lncRNA from 1 species